rnacentral:rRNA from 1 species
AGCAGUCGCCGCGGGAAUACAGAGGGUGCGAGCGUUAAUCGGAUUUACUGGGCGUAAAGCGUGCGUAGGCGGCUAAUUGAGUCGGAUGUGAAAUCCCCGAGCUUAACUUGGGAAUUGCAUUCGAUACUGGUUAGCUAGAGUGUGGGAGAGGAUGGUAGAAUUCCAGGUGUAGCGGUGAAAUGCGUAGAGAUCUGGAGGAAUACCGAUGGCGAAGGCAGCCAUCUGGCCUAACACUGACGCUGAGGUACGAAAGCAUGGGGAGCAAACAGGAUUAGAUACCCUUGUAGUCCCUGUCUCUUAUAC